rnacentral:rRNA from 1 species
UACGUAGGGGGCGAGCGUUGUCCGGAAUGAUUGGGCGUAAAGGGCGCGUAGGCGGCCUGCUAAGUCUGGAGUGAAAGUCCUGCUUUCAAGGUGGGAAUUGCUUUGGAUACUGGGAGGCUGGAGUGCAGGAGAGGAAAGCGGAAUUACCGGUGUAGCGGUGAAAUGCGUAGAGAUCGGUAGGAACACCAGUGGCGAAGGCGGCUUUCUGGACUGAAACUGACGUUGAGGCACGAAAGUGUGGGGAGCAAACAGG